AUUGCCCUAGUAACGGCGAGUGAAGCGGCAACAGCUCAAAUUUGAAAUCUGGCUUCCUUUGGGGGUCCGAGUUGUAAUUUGCAGAGGGUGCUUUGGCGUCGGCAGCGGUCUAAGUUCCUUGGAACAGGACAUCACAGAGGGUGAGAAUCCCGUACGUGGUCGCCUGCCUUCGCCGUGUAAAGCCCCUUCGACGAGUCGAGUUGUUUGGGAAUGCAGCUCUAAAUGGGAGGUAAAUUUCUUCUAAAGCUAAAUACCGGCCAGAGACCGAUAGCGCACAAGUAGAGUGAUCGAAAGAUGAAAAGCACUUUGGAAAGAGAGUCAAACAGCACGUGAAAUUGUUGAAAGGGAAGCGCUUGCAGCCAGACUUGCUCGCAGUUGCUCAUCCGGGUCCGCCCGGAGCACUCUUCUGCGAGCAGGCCAGCAUCAGUUUGGGCGACCGGAUAAAGGCCUCUGUCAUGUAUCUUCCUUCGGGAUGACCUUAUAGGGGAGGCGUAAUGCGGCCAGCCCGGACUGAGGUCCGCGCAUCUGCUAGGAUGCUGGCGUAAUGGCUGUAAGCGGCCCGUCUUGAAACACGGAUCAAGGAGUCUAACAUCUAUGCGAGUGUUUGGGUGUCAAGCCCGGGCGCGUAAUGAAAGUGAACGGAGGUGGGAACCCUCUUCGGGGGGUGCACCAUCGACCGAUCCUGAUGUCUUCGGAUGGAUUUGAGUAAGAGCAUAGCUGUUGGGACCCGAAAGAUGGUGAACUAUGCUUGAAUAGGGUGAAGCCAGAGGAAACUCUGGUGGAGGCUCGCAGCGGUUCUGACGUGCAAAUCGAUCGUCAAAUUUGGGCAUAGGGGCGAAAGACUAAUCG
rnacentral:rRNA from 1 species